GACGAACGCUGGCGGCGUGCUUAACACAUGCAAGUCGAACGGAAAGGCCCUGCUUUUGUGGGGUGCUCGAGUGGCGAACGGGUGAGUAACCCGUGAGUAACCUGCCCUUUACUCUGGGAUAAUUUCAGGAAGCUGUGGCUACUACCGGAUAGGAGCUCCUGCUUCUUGGUGUGGGUCGGAACGUUUCGGCGGAUUGGGAUGGACUCGCGGCUUAUCAGGUUGUUGGUGGGGUAGUGGCUUACCAAGGCUUUGACGGGUAGCCGGCCUGAGAGGGUGACCGGCCACAUUGGGACUGAGAUACGGCCCAGACUCCUACGGGAGGCAGCAGUGGGGAAUAUUGCACAAUGGGCGGAAGCCUGAUGCAGCAACGCCGCGUGCGGGAUGACGGCCUUCGGGUUGUAAACCGCUUUCGCCUGUGACGAAGCGUGAGUGACGGUAAUGGGUAAAGAAGCACCGGCUAACUACGUG
rnacentral:rRNA from 1 species